rnacentral:rRNA from 1 species
AAGAGUAACGCGUGGGAAUCUACCUUGAACUACGGGAUAGCUCCGGGAAACUGGAAUUAAUACCGUAUGUGCCCUUAGGGGGAAAGAUUUAUCGGUUCAAGAUGAGCCCGCGUUGGAUUAGCUAGUUGGUGGGGUAAAGGCCUACCAAGGCGACGAUCCAUAGCUGGUCUGAGAGGAUGACCAGCCACAUUGGGACUGAGACACGGCCCAAACUCCUACGGGAGGCAGCAGUGGGGAAUAUUGGACAAUGGGCGCAAGCCUGAUCCAGCCAUGCCGCGUGAGUGAUGAAGGUCUUAGGAUUGUAAAGCUCUUUCACCGGGGACGAUAAUGACGGUACCCGGAGAAGAAGCCCCGGCUAACUUCGUGCCAGCAGCCGCGGUAAUACGAAGGGGGCUAGCGUUGUUCGGAAUUACUGGGCGUAAAGCGCACGUAGGCGGACAUUUAAGUCAGGGGUGAAAUCCCGGGGCUCAACCCCGGAACUGCCUUUGAUACUGGGUGUCUUGAGUGUGGUAGAGGUGAGUGGAAUUGCGAGUGUAGAGGUGAAAUUCGUAGAUAUUCGCAGGAACACCAGUGGCGAAGGCGGCUCACUGGACCACAACUGACGCUGAGGUGCGAAAGCGUGGGGAGCAAACAGGAU